rnacentral:rRNA from 1 species
UACGGGGGGUGCAAGCGUUGUCCGGAUUUAUUGGGUUUAAAGGGUGCGUAGGCGGUCUAUUAAGUCAGCGUUAAAAUACAACAGCUUAACUGUUGGCCUGGCACUGAUACUGAUGGACUUGAGUGCGGUUGAGGUUGGCGGAAUUUAUGGUGUAGCGGUGAAAUGCAUAGAUACCAUAAAGAACACCGAUAGCGAAGGCAGCUAACCAAGCCGUUACUGACGCUGAGGCACGAAAGCGUGGGGAGCAAACAGG